rnacentral:lncRNA from 1 species
AUUACACGUGAUGAGUUGAUGCCAUUUAUUUAGUGGCAUCGCAAGGAAUCGACAGAAGAGAAUCCCCUCACAAGGAAAGCACAUUUAGUUUAUUUUAAAAUUUGCUCGGUUACUAGCCCGAUGAGUCAGCUGUUUGUGUAUAGCUCAUGUUCUUUUGGAAAGAAGAAAAGAAAAUAAGGAAGAACAGCAGGUGGAUGGCCCCGAGAGUAACGCACAGGCGAAGAGAGAAAUUCCGCAGCUACUCUUUUGAAUUACGUCGCUGACUUGAGUCGUCGUCCGAGGAAAAACAUUAAGUUACAGCUACGAGCCGAAUAGAUUCAGAUUCCCUCUCAUUUUAUUAUUACUCUUUUCUUUCCCCUUUUUAAUACUUGACUUUAGUUCCGCUUCGUUGAGUGUUUCAGAAGAACGUUGUCCCUAAUCGUUAAACGUUCGUGUGGGUGUGUAUAGACGACACAUAUGUCGUGUGUGUGUGUGUACCGCAUUGUGUGUGCAGCAUUAGUUGCGAGAUUGUUUUCCGAUUCUUUUUCAGCGUGGUAAAUGACGAUGACGACCUCCUACGGCAGCUGCGGUCGCCAGCCCAAAACCCAGCCUGUUGCCGAACCCGUUAGAUUUCUCGCUUGAUUAUUUUGCCGGUGUAGGUUUUGAACCUUCUUCCGACACAACUGACAUUUGCGGGUGUUUUCUUCUAUGAGUGCAUACAGUGCUACAUCUCAUCCCGUUGGAUAAAAGACAACCAAAGUAACAACAUCUUCGCGGUGACGAAAGGAUACGCGUCGCGUAGCAAAACAUAACAGAUGUUUGCUCCCAAAGAAUCAUUACGACCUAAUUGUGAAACUUCCGCUUGGGGAGUUUUCGUUUUUAUUUUACUAAAGCUUCCCUUCAAAAAAUAUGUAACCCCCCUUUUCUUUUUUAUUUGGCUUUAUUACGAAUCAUGUCAGUUCGACAUUUGAAAAAACCGGACGUCCGUCUAAAACCGGAAACAAAACUUCCGUUUCGGAAGAUGUAAUAUGAAAGGGCGCGCUCUCAAAAUUAUUCAUCUUUUUUUAGUUGCCUGUUUAAUUUCAGUGAAUGCCUAAUUUUCAAAUGUAUGAUGGUGUGAAUGGGGCGUUGGCUUGUCUUUCCCGUGCCUAACUGCAGAAGUACGCAACGUCAUCCCUGGAAGGUCACUGACCAACCGCAGCAACAACAGCAGCCGCCACGAGGUUCUCCUUUAAACUCAUGCAUCAGGGAACGUGAUGAUUGUAAAAACAAAGAGAAAAUGGCUUACCCGGGAAACGAUCACCAUUUUUCCUUUUUACUUUCUUCUUCGUUUCCUAUUUAAAAAAAAAAAAAAUGUCUUGGGGAUUUUGAAAUUGGUCCGAAAGUCCACAAAAAAGGCCGCGCUGUCGUCUUCGGUCGUCCGCGCGGGCCAAUAUUCACCUCUGCCGCCCGCCUCUGCGGCACAGCACGCAAUUACUUCCAGCCGUCUGUCUGUGUUAGAAAUGAAAAUAAAAAAUGUAUACCACACACAGAAAAAAGAGAUAUAAUGAUGGCAAUAAUAACACCAUCAAAAAGCUUAAAAAUCAGUCUGCAACACAAGCGGGAAAAACAAGAAGCCAAAAAGCUUUUUUUUUUGUAUGCGUAACAUAGAAAAUUACGCGUUUUUGAUUACGGAAAUGAGGACUUGCGAUCAGGUUGACAAACAAUUGACAAGCAAAAAUCUGAAUUUAUUAGAACGAAUGACGUUAUCGCGGUCUUCUUAUUCAAUGCACAGUAGACACAAUAACAUUUGUACGGGUUUCUGCACAGUCAGGUUUCUUUCCCUCUUAUGUUUUGUCACAUUAUUUGUUGUUUCCUUAAGCCAUCUUAACUUAAAAUGUACGUACUCUUCUUCUUAUUCCCCGUCUCCUUUCGUUUGUUGGAAAACCCAGUUAGCUGUAGGGUAGUCACUACUUGGGAUUAUCACCUGAUCGUUAAGCCCACGUGAAAUCAUCUCCUGAAAUCGAUUCUUUUAAUUGGAUGUGAAUACAAUUAUUCUUCUCGCCUAUUUUUAUUUUUAAAUUAUUAUCUGAGCCUCUAUUUUUAACAGUUCAGCCACGUGGAAUAAUUUCUCGUAUAAUAGUGGACACAGGGAAUUUUGAGGUAAAGCUUGUGACUGCGGCUUUUCUGACGAGCAAUCCGUUACCAUCAACGCCGACCACUCUGCGUGGAAAUAAAUGAAUUUACAAAGAAAAAAAUAUAUAUUU